rnacentral:rRNA from 1 species
GGAAGGAUCAUUAUUGAAUAAACCUGAUGUGACUGUUAGCUGGCUUUUCGAAGCAUGUGCUCGUCCGUCAUCUUUAAUCUCUCCACCUGUGCACAUUUUGUAGUCUUGGAUACCUCUCGAGGCAACUCGGAUUUUAGGAUUGCCGUGCUGUAAAAGUCAGCUUUCCUGUCAUUUCCAAGACUAUGUUUUUAUAUACACCAAAGUAUGUUUAAAGAAUGUCAUCAAUAGGAACUUGUUUCCUAUAAAAUUAUACAACUUUCAGCAACGGAUCUCUUGGCUCUCGCAUCGAUGAAGAACGCAGCGAAAUGCGAUAAGUAAUGUGAAUUGCAGAAUUCAGUGAAUCAUCGAAUCUUUGAACGCACCUUGCGCUCCUUGGUAUUCCGAGGAGCAUGCCUGUUUGAGUGUCAUUAAAUUCUCAACCUUCCAGCUUUUAUUAGCUUGGUUAGGCUUGGAUGUGGGGGUUGUGGGCUUCAUUAAUGAGGUCAGCUCUCCUUAAAUGCAUUAGCGGAACUUUUGUGGACCGUCUAUUGGUGUGAUAAUUAUCUACGCCGUGGAUGUGAAGCAGCUUUAUAAAGUUCAGCUUCUAAUCGUCCAUUGACUUGGACAAUAUUUGACAAUUUGACCUCAAAUCAGGUAGGACUACCCGCUGAACUUAAGCAUAUCAAUAAGCGGAGGAAAAGAAACUAACAAGGAUUCCCCUAGUAACUGCGAGUGAAGCGGGAAAAGCUCAAAUUUAAAAUCUGGCAGUCUUUGGCUGUCCGAGUUGUAAUCUAGAGAAGUAUUAUCCGCGCUGGACCGUGUACAAGUCCCCUGGAAUGGGGCGUCAUAGAGGGUGAGAAUCCCGUCUUUGACACGGACUGCCAGGGCUUUGUGAUGUGCUCUCAAAGAGUCGAGUUGUUUGGGAAUGCAGCUCAAAAUGGGUGGUAAAUUCCAUCUAAAGCUAAAUAUUGGCGAGAGAC